GUGGGGAAUUUUGGACAAUGGGGGCAACCCUGAUCCAGCCAUGCCGCGUGCGGGAAGAAGGCCUUCGGGUUGUAAACCGCUUUUGUCAGGGAAGAAAUCCUUUGGGUUAAUACCUCGGAGGGAUGACGGUACCUGAAGAAUAAACACCGGCUAACUACGUGCCAGCAGCCGCGGUAAUACGUAGGGUGCGAGCGUUAAUCGGAAUUACUGGGCGUAAAGCGUGCGCAGGCGGUUUUGUAAGAUCGAUGUGAAAUCCCCGGGCUCAACCUGGGAACUGCAUUGGUGACUGCAAGGCUGGAGUGCGGCAGAGGGGGAUGGAAUUCCGCGUGUAGCAGUGAAAUGCGUAGAUAUGCGGAGGAACACCGAUGGCGAAGGCAAUCCCCUGGGCCUGCACUGACGCUCAUGCACGAAAGCGUGGGGAGCAAACAGGAUUAGAAACCCUGGUAGUCC
rnacentral:rRNA from 1 species